rfam:Plasmodium berghei strain K173 genome assembly, chromosome: 8
GGGCGGCUAGCUCAAGUGGUAGAGCGCUCGCUUAGCAUGCGAGAGGUACGGGGAUCGAUACCCCGGUCGUCCA